rnacentral:lncRNA from 1 species
GAAGUUCUAAUUGGUUUUGGAAUAAGACUCGGUAUUGGAACUUUAUAGUGUCUCAUAAUUCUGUUUGGUUUGUAGCUUUGAGUCUCAGUCCGGUUCUGAUAGGGAAUGGACAGAGGAAUGCUAUAUAUAUAUAUAUAGCUCAAACCCCUGCUCUUGCGAUCGUAAGCUUGUAGAGUUCUAAGACCUAUUGAUUAGAAGAGCUUUUCUUAUCGUUAAAGAGGAGAAGGUUUUGAGCAAGAAGACUGGAAUGGCUUCUUCAUCAGGAUCAAAUAAUGCAGGUAUGUUUCAAAGAACUUUGACUCUCAUAUCUGUUUAAAAUACAAAAUUUGUAUCGGCUGUGGUUCAAUUGGAUGAAUCUUUGAUUCUUGAAUAAGGUGUUAUAAACUUGUUCUUACAUGUGGUAUCAGAGCCAGUAGGGUUCAACCAUUGAAUUCAACCGGAAAAAAAAAAAAAAACUUGAAAACAUAUUAUCUGGGUUUCGAACUGGGCUCUUAGGGUUCUUAGAGCCUUUAGUUAAGAACGGUGCCGUUUGCGUUAAAAUAGCCUUUAGACAAGUCAUAAAAAAAAAAAUAAAUAAAUAAAUAAAUAAAUAAAAAUAAAAAAAAAUUAAAAGAAAAACGGUGUCGAUUGGUAUGUUCUUCGAAGAGGACUCUCUCUCUUAUCACCUGUGAUCGACCCUUUUUUCUUCCUGAUUACUUCUCUGAUUCAUGAUUCUUAGUCGAAAUAGAUGCUGAAAUUGACGAAUCUUGAAAGUUAACUACAAAAGGUAUGAACUUGAAAUUCGAAUUUAUUUCAGAUUAUUUGAACAUUGAUAUGAUUCAUGUAUGAUUAUCUGGCAUAAGUCAAAAGUAAUACAGAUUGUUCUUGAAAGAUGCUUCCGCUUAUAUAUCUGACAUCAGAGACUAUAUAUAUGUAUAUUGUGCAAUCUGUGGUGACUCUAAUGCAGAUAUUGAUGAAUCCCGUUGAAUUGCUUAUUCUAUAUGUGUCUUUAAAAUAUCAUAUCAUAUGUAUGAAUAAGUUGAUUCAAUGAAUAAGUUUGGUAGUGAAAAGACUGAAAUCAAGAAUCUUUAAGAUUCAUAGUGAUGAUUUCAUUGUUGUCUAAUGCAGUUUCACUAAGAUCACUAAACUUAGCAGCAGUGCCAAUACUCACUGGUGGAAGCAAUUACAAAAGAUGGAGAAGAGAGAUUGAAUUGCUUUUGACACUAAAUGAGUAUGACAUUGCACUUGACAAUCCACAACCUGAGGCCUUAACAGACAAAAGCACUAAGGCUGAGAAGGCUGAUUUUGAGAGAUGGACCAGGGCCAACAAAGUGGCACUAUCGAUACUAGAAAGUGGUAUGACAGACACUGUGCGUGGUGGAAUAAAGAAGUCAGCUCUUGCAAAAGAUUAUCUCCAAGCCAUUGAGAACAAAUUUAAAGAAUCAGAGAAGGCUGAGAUUGCUCAAUAUAUGUCCCUCUUGACUUCUUAUAAAUUUGAAGGUGGUGGAUCAAUCAGAGAUCACAUUCUGAAAAUGACUGACGCAGCUGAAAAACUUAACUCCAUGGAAGUUAAUAUUGGAGAGAAACAACUUGUGUUUAUGAUACUCCAAGCAUUGCCACUCAAAUUCAGUCAACUCAAAGUGUCCUACAACACUCAAGACAAGACUUGGACAGUGGAUGAACUCAUUGCUCAAUGCGUGCAAGAAGAGAACAGACAGAAACAAGAAAAGGGAAAGGAGUCUGAAAUUGUUAAUUUUGUCCAAGUUGCCAAAGGAAAGAAGGAGUCCAAUGUUGGUAAAUUUUCUAAACCACAAUCUUAUGAUAAAUCUGUUAUGCCUGCUAAAAGUUUCAAUUCCUCUAAGUCUAAUAAGUUUAAGGUAAGAACUAAAAGUGUUGAGAAGAUUAGAUGUCAUCACUGCAAGACUAAGGGUCACUAUCGAAAAGAUUGUGAAAUAUUCAAGGAGUGGCUGAGAUCUAAAGGUAGAACUGAUGUCUAUGUCUGUGAGGAGACAAACCUUGUUGAUAUUCCUACAAACUCUUGGUGGUUUGACACCGGCGCAUCUGUGCAUAUCACUAACACUUUGCAUGGUUUUAAAGAACAAAAGAAGACAAACAGUUUUAAUGUUUUUGUUGGAGAGGGAACCAAAGUUUCUGUUGAGUCCAUAGGCACUGUCAAACUAAGAUUAGACACUGGUUUUACAAUGCAAUUGAAUGAUGUGUUAUAUGUGCCCAAAAUGAGAAGAAAUCUUGUUUCUGCAUCAAAACUGGUCAAACAAAAGUAUGUUUUUGUAGGAGAUGAUGAGUGUGUCAAGUUUUUCAAAAGGGGAUCUUUACAUGGAAAAGCAUUUCAGCAUGACCAUCUUUGGAAAAUACAGUGCAAUGUAGAAUUUGAGGACUUACAUGUUUUGAAUACUGCAACUAAGAGGAUGCAUGCUUCUGAUCAAUCUUUUAUACUUUGGCAUAAGAGGCUAGGACACAUUUCGAAAGAAAGAGUUUUUCAGUUGUCUAAAAUGAAUUUGAUCCCUGCAAUAGACAUUAAAACUGCUGCAGAAUGUGUUGAUUGCAUCAAGGGCAAGAUGACUAAUACUAGAAAAUUAGAUGCUAAAAGAAGUAAUGCAUUGCUCGAGGUCAUUCACACAGAUAUUUGUGGGCCAUUUCCUGUCAAAACCAUUUGUGGGAAUACUUAUUUUGUAAGCUUCAUAGAUGACUUCUCGAGAUUCAGUUAUGUUUACCUAAUAAGUGAGAAAUCGGCAGCCCUUGAAUGUUUUAAAGUCUUUAAAUGUGAAGUUGAGAAACAGUUAAACCAUGUGAUUAAAGUUGUUAGAUCAGAUAGGGGAGGUGAAUACUUUGGCAGGCAUACAGAAGCAGGGCAACAAAAGGGUCCAUUUGCUCAUUUUCUUGAAAGUCAAGGGAUUGUGGCUCAAUAUACCACUCCUGGUACCCCACAGCAGAAUGGAGUGGCAGAAAGGAGGAAUAGAACUCUUAUGGAAAUGGUGAGAAGCAUGAUUUCAAGAUCCAAGCUCCCAAAUUUUCUUUGGGGAGAGGCAUUGAAAACUGCAACUAUAUUAUAAAUCGAGUGCCCUCAAAAUCUGUGCCCAAGACACCUUUUGAAUUAUGGCAUGGCAGAAAGCCAAGCUUCAAUCACUUUCAUGUAUGGGGAUGCAAAGCCGAAGCAAAAUUCUACAACCCAAGUGAGAAGAAAUUGGAUCCAAGAACAACUACAUGCUAUUUCAUCGGUUACUCAGAAAAGUCAAAGGGUUUCAAAUUCUAUUGUACACAAGCAUACACAAGGAUUCAAGAAACUCACAAUGCCAUUUUUCUGGAGGAUGAAGAUGUAUCAGAUAUGACACAUGAAACAUUCGAUUUGAAGAGAUGGUGCAAUCAGAAAAUUGUUCUCAAUUAACCUACAAUCAAGUACCAGUAUUGCAAAGAUCUCACCCAACUACCGAUGAUCUUGAUGAUGAUAUGGCAGAAGCUGAGAGCAAUGAUCAAGCAAGCAUUGAGAAUCGAUCAGAGACUCAGAAUCAAAAUCUCAAUGUUCAAACAAAUGAGAAUUUAACUGACCAACCACAGAUCAGGAAGUCUAACAGAAUUAAGAAACCUGUGAUCUCGCAAGACUAUGUGUAUCUUCAAGAAACGGAAUUCGAUUAUGGUGAUAUAGAUGAUCCUAUGACCUAUCAGCAAGCUAUCAAAAGUCCUCAAGCAGUCUUAUGGCAGCAAGCAAUGGUGGAGGAACUUGAGUCAAUGGCAAACAACAAUGUUUGGUCUUUAGCAAAGCCAUCAGAUAACACUAAACCAGUAAACUGCAAGUGGGUAUUUAAGACCAAGAGAGAUGCUCAGGGAAGAAUUGAGAGAUAUAAAGCUCGAUUAGUUGCAAAGGGAUUCACACAAAGGGAGGGAGUUGACUACAAUAACACCUUUUCACCAGUUUCUUCCAAGGACUCAAUGCGAGUGAUAAUGGCCUUGACAGCUUAUUUUGACCUGGAAUUGCAUCAGAUGGAUGUCAAAACUGCAUUUUUGAAUGGUGAACUUGAUGAGGAGAUCUUUAUGUCACAACCUCCUGGAUUUGUUGAAAGGGGGAAAGAGGAUAUGGUCUGUAAAUUGAAUAAAUCAAUCUAUGGUUUGAAACAGGCUUCAAGACAAUGGUUUCUGAAAUUUGAUCAAGUAGUUACUUCACAAGGGUUUAUUGAAAACAAGAUGGAUGAUUGUAUCUACCUUAAGUUCAAGGGUUCCAAGUUCAUUUUUCUGGUCUUGUAUGUCGAUGACAUUUUGAUUGCAAGUUCGGAUGUACAGUUGCUAAAAGAGACGAAGAGCAUGCUGAGUUCAAACUUUGAAAUGAAGGAUCUUGGGGAAGCUCACUAUGUUCUCGGAAUUGAAAUCAUGAGAGACAGAAGACAGAAACUCCUUGGUUUAUCUCAGAAGGGAUAUAUAGAAAGAGUGCUUAACAGGUUUAAUAUGGAAAGCUGCAAUAAGGCUGAUGUUCCAGUAAAUAAGGGUGAUAAGUUCUCUCGUGAUCAAUGUCCUAAAAAUGAACUUGAGACUAAAUUGAUGAAGAUGAAACCAUAUGCUUCUUUAGUUGGCAGCCUUAUGUAUGCUAACAUAUGUACCAGACCUGAUUUGGCUUUCAUUGUUGGACUUUUAGGAAGAUUUCAAUCAAAUCCUGGAGAAGCUCACUGGGUGGCAGCCAAGAAAGUGUUGAGAUAUUUGCAGAAAACAAAGGGGUUUAUGUUGGUUUAUGGGCACAGUGAUCCGUUAGAGUUGAUUGGAUACACUGAUUCUGAUCUUGCUGGGGAUGUAGAUGAAAGAAAAUCAACUGGAGGAUACAUUUUUAAGUUGAGUGGAGGUGCUGUGUCUUGGAAAAGUGCUAAACAGACUAUUGUGUCAACUUCAACUAUGGAAGCUGAGUUUGUAGCAUGUUUUGAGGGAAUGAAACAAGCAGUUUGGCUCAGAAACCUGAUUUCUGAUAUGAAGCUUGUAGAUUCAGUCAAAAGGCCUAUAAGAAUGUUCUGUGAUAACAAUGCCGCUGUGUUUUUCUCAAGGAAUAACAAAAGACUUCGGCCUCGAGGUUAAUGGAUGUAAAGUUUCUUAAAGUUAGGGAGAUGGUCAAGAAGGGGGAAAUAGAUAUUCAGUAUUUAUCUACCGGUGCAAUGAUCGCAGAUCCUCUUACCAAGGCCUUGCCAAAUAAUUUAUAUAAGGGACAUGUUGCUAAGAUGGGGGUGGUAGAGUCUUUUGAACAGUGGGAGUAAACUGUUUCAAAAUUGGAAGACUGUUGGAGUGUUCAUUCGAAUUUGAUGACAUUAAGACAGCAAGUCUUCGUAGCUAGAUAGUUUUAUUUGAGUUAGUGUUUUGUUUAGUAAGUAGCUUAUUUUGGUUUUCAAUAAGUGUUCAAUUCUUCCAAUGUGAUUAAUUGUUCCAGAAAACAAGUUUUAUUCAAUAAAAGUAAGUUUGCUAAGAAAUCAGUUUUGUGAUUUGGUUGAUGCAUGCUUAUUGGUAUGUUGAAUGGUUAAAGAUCAUUGACUUGAUUCGAAUUAUGAGAGCUGUAUUACUCAAGUGAGAGUUAUACAUUUUGUGCUCUGUGUUGUGAUUUAUACGAUUCUUAAUUGCAGAUUGAAUAAGUAGUAAUUGUUGAAUUGGUUUCUGUGAUGUACAGAGUAGAUUCUUCAGUUCCUUAUUUUGAGAUGCAUUAUGAUUGUAAUCUGAGAGGAUGAUUAGAGCUUGCAUAAGACUUAGUGAUCACUUCUAUAAAUCUUAAAUACUGGUUAUUGUGUUUCAUACUCAAGUGGGAGAAUGUAAGAUUGUGAGUAUGAAAUAUAAGUUGGGACCGGUUAUAUCGUUUAAGAUUGAUAUAGAAAAGUCUUUUGUUUAAAGUAGUUAAGAUAUCCUUAUUGAUUUGGGUUAACAGGAUUGAGAGAAGUUCUAAUUGGUUUUGGAAUAAGACUCGGUAUUGGAACUUUAUAGUGUCUCAUAAUUCUGUUUGGUUUGUAGCUUUGAGUCUCAGUCCGGUUCUGAUAGGGAAUGGACAGAGGAAUGCUAUAUAUAUAUAUAUAUAGCUCAAACCCCUGCUCUUGCGAUCGUAAGCUUGUAGAGUUCUAAGACCUAUUGAUUAGAAGAGCUUUUCUUAUCGUUAAAGAGGAGAAGGUUUUGAGCAAGAAGACUGGAAUGGCUUCUUCAUCAGGAUCAAAUAAUGCAGGUAUGUUUCAAAGAACUUUGACUCUCAUAUCUGUUUAAAAUACAAAAUUUGUAUCGGCUGUGGUUCAAUUGGAUGAAUCUUUGAUUCUUGAAUAAGGUGUUAUAAACUUGUUCUUACAAAGGAAACACGAAUUCAUAAUAAAGUCAAAUACAAAGGGGAAAAAAAUAACUUUAUCUUAGUUCUUCACUAAAAUUUGUUUCAUGUUAAUGAAGUGAAUUUGACAUCUCGGUUUACAAUUCAGGACCAAGGUGAGAAAAAGAGACUGCAGAUGAAUAUAGAGAUGCCCCAAACCUAAUUCGCAACCAAACGGUUAUGUUGUCACUCAGUCAAGCAAAGCAUCAGAAAACCAGGAUUGAGAACAAAUGCACCAUAAACUUCAAACAGAUGCAGCGUGAGAAAGAGAGGUUUUCACCCUAAGAGCCUUGCUUGCUUCAUACAUUAUCAAUCAUUUACGCAUACGGAUACAUAAUUACAUUGUCUACAUAAGUAGUGUACACAAUCCGACUGGAAAGCAGAACAAAUCUCUUUUGUGAAUGCAGAACACAAUGUACAAUAGGAUAACAUUACCGUCAAUUCACAAGACACCGGCUGGUAAUUAUCGAGUUAAACAGAAUAGACAGAAACAACAUAAUGCGGUCACUAAC